rnacentral:misc_RNA from 1 species
GAAGUCGUUACUCCAACCCUUGUGGAGGAGGACGCCGAAGGUGGGGCUAAUGACUGGGGUGAAGUCGUAACAAGGUAGCCGUACCGGAAGGUGCGGCUGGAUCACCUCCUAACAGGGAGACAACAAAAUGUAAAUAUUAAUUUUGUCACCUUAGGUCGAUCGGUAUCUCAGAUUCUUAUUAUUUAAGGAUUUCAGUUUCUAAGUUUUUUCUAGGUCACACCCAUCACUUUUUCCUGGGCCAUUAGCUCAGGUGGUUAGAGCGCACCCCUGAUAAGGGUGAGGUCCCUGGUUCAAGUCCAGGAUGGCCCAUAUCUCUAUGUUGGGGGUAUAGCUCAGUUGGUAGAGCGCCUACUUUGCAAGCAGGAUGUCAGCGGUUCGAGUCCGCUUACCUCCACUGAAUACCACCUCUUACAUAUAGUUGAAGUGGGAAAUUGUUUUGAGUCGUGUCCUAAUUUGCUCUGAGCGAAUCUAGCUUCCUAUUUUAUCCAAGAAAUAAGAUGCUGGACUCAUUGAAUUUUUUUUCAUUGUUUUCAGAGAACCUUGACAACUGCAUAGAUUAUUUUUAAAGACAAUAAGCAUCUUUAAUGAUGCAGAUUUAUUAUUUGUGCGAAUGCAUUAAAUAACAAUUCUAUUAAGCUGAUGCUUCAAUUAUUGAAGUUAUUGGUCAAGCUACAAAGGGCUCACGGAGGAUACCUAGGCACACAGAGGCGAUGAA